GAUGAACGCUAGCUACAGGCUUAACACAUGCAAGUCGAGGGGCAGCAUGGUCUUAGCUUGCUAAGGCCGAUGGCGACCGGCGCACGGGUGAGUAACACGUAUCCAACCUGCCGUCUACUCUUGGACAGCCUUCUGAAAGGAAGAUUAAUACAAGAUGGCAUCAUGAGUCCGCAUGUUCACAUGAUUAAAGGUAUUCCGGUAGACGAUGGGGAUGCGUUCCAUUAGAUAGUAGGCGGGGUAACGGCCCACCUAGUCUUCGAUGGAUAGGGGUUCUGAGAGGAAGGUCCCCCACAUUGGAACUGAGACACGGUUCAAACUCCUACGGGAGGCAGCAGUGAGGAAUAUUGGUCAAUGGGCGAGAGCCUGAACCAGCCAAGUAGCGUGAAGGAUGACUGCCCUAUGGGUUGUAAACUUCUUUUAUAAAGGAAUAAAGUCGGGUAUGGAUACCCGUUUGCAUGUACUUUAUGAAUAAGGAUCGGCUAACUCCGUGCCAGCAGCCGCGGUAAUACGGAGGAUCCGAGCGUUAUCCGGAUUUAUUGGGUUUAAAGGGAGCGUAGAUGGAUGUUUAAGUCAGUUGUGAAAGUUUGCGGCUCAACCGUAAAAUUGCAGUUGAUACUGGAUAUCUUGAGUGCAGUUGAGGCAGGCGGAAUUCGUGGUGUAGCGGUGAAAUGCUUAGAUAUCACGAAGAACUCCGAUUGCGAAGGCAGCCUGCUA
rnacentral:rRNA from 1 species